AUCGCGUUAAGUCGUUUGUGUCAACGUCGGCUCGGGGAAGUAUUGACAGCAGUGAAAAAAGCCACGGUCGUCGUUAUUACUACAACAGAACGGAUAACCCGCUUUUCUAAUCGCUAAAUGGAAUCAUCAACGAUGUACAAUCCUGAACCACAAAAAUGCUCUUGCUGUGGUCCAGUGGCCAAAAAUAUUCCUGUGAUGCUCAUAAUAUUUUUACUGGCAUGGUCAUAUUUAACAUUCGUUUAUUAUAUGUGCCUCGAUGACAUCAUUUCCCUGGAACUUAGAGUGCCGUCCCUGGUGUUGUACCAUAUUAUACUUGUGCUUUUUCUUUGGUCUUACUACAAAGCAGUAACCGCGAAAUGUUACGGUGCACCUGAAAAUUUCAAACUCCCGGAUGAUGUUUUUGAAGAGUUUAAUAGGCGUCCAUUUGAUUUUGCCAAACAAAACACUAUCUUGCGUGAAAUUUCGUACGAUCUGCCAAUUGCGACAUUCACAACUAUGGAAGAAAUCAGAUACUGCGAUAGAUGUAAAAUAGUCAAGCCUGAUCGCGCCCACCAUUGUACUGUGUGUGAUAAGUGCGUAUUAAAAAUGGAUCAUCACUGCCCGUGGAUUAACAAUUGCGUAUCAUUUUCAAACUACAAAUAUUUCAUAUUACUCCUGGUGUACGGAACUGCCAUGUGCCUUUUAAUUGCAUACACUACAAUGGUUUAUGUAUUUAGAUAUUGGGAGGCUUCAUCCGACAUGGAAUUAAAAGUACACCCGUAUGCACUUCAUAUAGUAUUUUUAUUUUUCUUCGCAUUAAUUUUUGCUAUCAGCCUAUUCUCACUGUUCACUUAUCACGUUUACUUGAUGUCUAAAAAUUGUACCACCGUUGAAGCUGUCCGCCCACCGAUAUUCACUGAACAUAACAAUAAAAAUGGAUUCAAUUUGGGUUGUUCCAAAAACAUACAAGAAGUGUUUGGUCAAAAAAAGAAAUGUUGGCCUUUUCCUACAGAAACAAGCUUGGGGAAUGGAGUGAAUUUUCCAUUGGUAGGUAAACCAAGGUCCAACGAGAGAAUUGUGCUAACGCCUUACAAGGCCAGGGAUCAAUUUUCUGUUUAAUAACUCUAUGUACUUCAAAUGGUUAUAGUGCAUAGUUUGCUUUUUACUAUUCAUUUACAAUUUAGAUGUCCCUAGUUUGUGUGUUGUGUUCAUGAUCUUAAAAUUGUACUCGAACAAUUUAACUAUAGAUUUACAAUUAGGAAAAUUUCAGAAGUGUUUGUUGUUUUCAUGAUUUCACAAAUUUACUGCAACAAGUUUACUUAACUUUUAAGCAUAUUCAAAUUGUAAAACUAAUUCAUUAAGGUGUGCUGGGUGAAAUAUUUGAUGUUUUGCUUUUGACAAUUAGUAUAUACUUCAUUGAAGUUUUUUUUUACAUUUUUAUUUCUAUUACGGGACAGUUAAUCGCCAAAUAUUAUGAUAACUUAUCUCCAUAACUUGUUUCCCUUUAAUAAUAAUUUUUUUUAUUAAACGUUUUUUAAAUAUAUUCGAUAAAUUUUCCGUUCUUAAGAAAUAAAUUAAAAACCCCAUUUUUUACAUUUUUUUCUAACUUAAUAAUACUUAAUUAAUACUUAUCACUUACUGAUAAUUAAUAUUAGUGGAUAGCUUAUGGUCUUGGCAAUGUUGUAUGAUUUGCGGUCAUUAUAAAAGAACAUGAAGUUCAACCAUAGCGCUUACAUGUAUACGAUCAGAAAACAUUGAUUGGUAUCGAGUGAUCAGUCUUGCGCAGAACAAAUUUCAAAUGCCGUGUAAAAUGCUAAGAUCUUUAAAAUAAUUAGUAUGAUAGAUGUGUUUAUGACUAUUUUAAUUUAAUAUUUUGUGUGUG